UGUUUAACUGCGAGUCCUGUUUAUGUUUUUGAAAUUUAAACAUUCUUGGCAGUUGAGCAUU
rnacentral:pre_miRNA from 1 species